AAGAAGAAGAGCGCUUGUUUUGUGCGUCCUGAGAACAAAGCAGCGGGCCACAAAGGGGAACUAACUACCCGCCAGGACGAGGCAGGUGCAGGAUCCAGGUGAGUGAAAGGCCACUUAGGAGUCACACACGCGCUUGAAUCAGGGAUGAAAAAAGAGGUUUGAACUCACUCAGGCGGCGCUCGGAGUUAUUAACGGGAGAUACUUCUUCUUCAUCAUCAUCAUCAUCAUCAGUUUUCCUGCCAUUCAUCUCCAUCUUUGACCUCAGCUUUCCUGGAACAGUUCCAUACUUCUUCUGCUCCGUGGGCAGCGUCUGGCAAAACAAAUACAAGGUGAUGAUUA